UUAUAGACAAUGAAAUUUAACAAAUACAAAAAUUUCAUCACCAAAAUCUCCAGGGAUCCUUAAAUGGAGGGACAUAGUUGUCUGUGGGAGGGAGAAGGUGAAAAGAUGCCACUGUUUUCUCUAAGAGAGGCCCCAUCUAGUUCCACUGCUUGCCAAGAGUAGAAGCAUUCAGUGAGUACAAAUAACCUGCAAACAAGUGUCCAGAAAGCUAAAUAGGGAUUCUAAACGUGAAACAAACAUAAU